GCGUCUUCAUCAGGAGUAGAAUCCACAUCAAGAAAAGAUGUUCUUGGCUCAUUCAGAAGAAACAACACCUCCUUCAUUCAAGUUUGAUUGUGAGAUGGCAGCAAUUCAGUCACAUCUUCAGGCUCCACUUCUAACUGUACUUCUCUUGCUGUGUCUACCACAUCUGCAGUUACUUCCUCCACAGAAGUCUUGAGCCCCCUAAAGUCAACUAUGAGCGUUGGAAUCAACUUCUCCCAAAUCCUGUUAAUGUGGCUAUUUUGACCUUCUCCUAUGAAUCAUGAAUGUUCU
rnacentral:lncRNA from 1 species